AGUACUUUUAAAUUUAGUCCAGAGAGGCUAACAAAGUGAUAGAACUUAUAAACUUAAUAUUUUAUUUGGAGUUUAUGAUUAAUAUGGCAUUGUUACGACCUUUUAUACUAAUAUAAAAGGUCGUUUUUUAU
rfam:Clostridium amylolyticum strain DSM 21864 genome assembly, contig: Ga0131114_107